GAUGAAGAACGCAGCGAAAUGCGAUAAGUAAUGUGAAUUGCAGAAUUCAGUGAAUCAUCGAAUCUUUGAACGCACAUUGCGCCCGCCAGUAGUCUGGCGGGCAUGCCUGUUCGAGCGUCAUUUCAACCCUCAAGCACAGCUUGGUGUUGGGACUCGCGUUAAUUCGCGUUCCCCAAAUUGAUUGGCGGUCACGUCGAGCUUCCAUAGCGUAGUAGUAAAACCCUCGUUACUGGUAAUCGUCGCGGCCACGCCGUUAAACCCCAACUUCUGAAUGUUGACCUCGGAUCAGGUAGGAAUACCCGCUGAACUUAAGCAUAUCAAUAAGCGGAGGA
rnacentral:misc_RNA from 1 species